rnacentral:rRNA from 1 species
GAUGAACGCUCGCGGCAGGCCUAACACAUGCAAGUCGAGGGAUAAGCCUUCGGGCUAAGCCCGGCGCACGGGUGCGUAACGCGUAUACAAUCUGCCUUUUAUCCGGGGGAUAGCCCGAAGAAAUUUGGAUUAAUACCCUAUGGUAUAAGAGCACGGCAUCGUGCACUUAUUAAAGCUACGGCGGUAAAAGAUGAGUAUGCGUUCUAUUAGCUAGUUGGAGAGGUAACGGCUCCCCAAGGCGACGAUAGAUAGGGGUUCUGAGAGGGAUGUCCCCCACACUGGUACUGAGAUACGGACCAGACCCCUACGGGAGGCAGCAGUGAGGAAUAUUGGACAAUGGUCGGAAGACUGAUCCAGCCAUGCCGCGUGCAGGAUGACGGCCUUAUGGGUUGUAAACUGCUUUUGUAAGGGAAGAAUAAGGAGUACGUGUACUUUGAUGACGGUACCUUACGAAUAAGCAUCGGCUAACUCCGUG